rnacentral:tmRNA from 1 species
GGGGCUGUACCGGUUUCGACGUUUUGGCGAACGAUACCCCGUGAUGCAGGUCGAGAGUGAGUACCUCUCGUAAAUACAGGCUCAAAAAAAUAGAUGCAAACAACAUCGUUCCUUUUGCUCGUAAGCAAUCUGCUGUUGCAGUUGCCUAAUAACCUCUAAUUUGGUUCGAGCGUCUGUGAUCUGACUCCGUUAAGGAUGACAGACCAACCCCCAACGGAUGCGCCAGACCACCGUCUCUGGUCGGUAUCUGGCUAAGGCCUCACCAGAGCAUCCCACCGUCCGGGACAAGGGACGGUUCCUGCUUCGAGGGUAAGAGAAGCUAAACCUGUGAAUGAGCGGUGUACUAAUACCCAGGACGGACACGGGUUCGACUCCCGUCAGCUCCACUU